CAAUUGCCUAUAGAUGGACCCUCCUAUUUCUUCUGACUUGCCUGUCUUGACUUGACUACAUGGCUUGGUUGGAGCCAGCUAAAUAGGCAUGCUCAAGAUUGGGUGGAGAUUCUGUAGACCCUUUUCAGUCUACUGUACCUUUAAAACUUGAAGGCAGCCCAGGAAGUCAACUUGCUUUGCCAGGUUGCAUCUGCCCAACACCAGGAAAGAACCAGGUCCCAUGGACUAAAUUGAAAAAUUAAGUUACAUCUCCAUGAGUCCCUUUUAGAUGGAAAGUCAGGCUGGCCUACAAAUGCACUAAAAAUAAACUGGCAGAUGGUUUAGGUAAUCUCAGCACAAGUCAGCUUGCCCUCCUGGUGAAUAAUGUGGGCACCAGCCUGGAAGAAAAU